UAAGCCAUGCGAGUCGAACGAGUUUAGGCUCGUGGCGUACGGCUCAGUAACACGUGGAUAACCUACCCUUAGGACCGGGAUAACCUUGGGAAACUGGGGACAAUACUGGAUAGGCAAUUUUUCCUGUAAUGGUUUUUUGUUUAAAUGUUUUUUCGCCUAAGGAUGGGUCUGCGGCCGAUUAGGUAGUUGGUUAGGUAAUGGCUUACCAAGCCGUUGAUCGGUACGGGUUGUGAGAGCAAGAGCCCGGAGAUGGAACCUGAGACAAGGUUCCAGGCCCUACGGGGUGCAGCAGGCGCGAAACCUCCGCAAUGUGAGAAAUCGCGACGGGGGGAUCCCAAGUGCCAUUCUUAACGGGAUGGCUUUUCAUUAGUGUAAAAAGCUUUUGGAAUAAGAGCUGGGCAAGACCGGUGCCAGCCGCCGCGGUAACACCGGCAGCUCUAGUGGUAGCAAUUUUUAUUGGGCCUAAAGCGUCCGUAGCCGGUUUAAUAAGUCUCUGGUGAAAUCCUGUAGCUUAACUGUGGGAAUUGCUGGAGAUACUAUUAGACUUGAGACCGGGAGAGGUUAGAGGUACUCCCAGGGUAGAGGUGAAAUUCUGUAAUCCUGGGAGGACCGCCUGUUGCGAAGGCGUCUAACUGGAACGGUUCUGACGGUGAGGGACGAAAGUUAGGGGCGCGAACCGGAUUAGAUACCCGGGUAGUCCUAACUGUAAACGAUGCGGACUUGGUGUUGGGGUGGCUUUGAGCUGCUCCAGUGCCGAAGGGAAGCUGUUAAGUCCGCCGCCUGGGAAGUACGGUCGCAAGACUGAAACUUAAAGGAAUUGGCGGGGGAGCACCACAACGCGUGGAGCCUGCGGUUUAAUUGGAUUCAACGCCGGACAUCUCACCAGAGGCGACAGCUGUAUGAUAGCCAGGUUGAUGACUUUGCUUGACUAGCUGAG
rnacentral:rRNA from 1 species